GCCAUUCCCAUGUGCCUCCGUUUCUUCGCCCUUACGUUUUGCAGACGUGUCUUUUCCUGCGCCCCAAAGGUUCAUCUAGAACAUCAUACAUGUACCAUUUCUGCUUCCUGCUUCCAAAUUACGGAUAUGGACAUCGACAUGGAGCGCGAUCAGGUUUCAAUUUCAGUUAACGAUUACGAUACAGCAACAGGCUGCGAUUCCGACGACGGAGAGUCGCCGCCUGCGGAAUCAUCUGCACAAUCGAUGGAUUUCACGGCGAGCGGAAUGGUGAGGCUGGAGGAAGACGACGGACGGAGCAACGAAUACGCGGUAAUUAAGAGGAAUUUCGUUAAUGGCAUGAGAUCGCUUGGGGAGGAUGUUAAUUUGGUCGCCGUACACAAAAAUCCGUACUCGAGUGUCGCCGGAAAGGCGAAAUUGGAAGCGUUCCGAGCUUUCACCCGCGCGACGGCGGAGAAGCGCGGCGGCGACGCUAAUGUGAAGUUCGGAUGGUACGGCGGGCGUCGGGAUGAGAUUCGCGACAUUGUGGUCCAUGGAUUCGGGAGAUUGGACAAGGAUUCGCCGUACGGAUUUGGAAUCCAUCUCUCCCCGGCAGCUCUUCCUGCUCCGAGCGCGUUAAAGGCAGAGGAAGACGGAGCUGGAGUAAGGCACAUGCUGCUAUGUCGAGUAAUAUUAGGAAACACAGAAACAAUCUGUCCAGGUUCACAUCAAUCCCAGCCGACUUCCAUCCAUUUUGACUCUGGAGUCGACAGCCCUUUGGCGCCAACAAUGUACAUCAUUUGGAGCACCUAUAUGAACUCCCACAUCUUCCCCAAUUACAUCGUCAGCUUCACCUCUCCCUCAUUAAUAGCCAAGGAAGUGAGUUCCUCGAGUAUGAAGUUCUCGAUACUGUUGAAUGUGCUGUCUCGGUUUCUAGAUCCCUCGAAAAUGAGCUUGAUUCGGAACUAUUACAAGGAUUUCCGGGAAAACAAGAUUGGGAGGUCUCAGCUGAUUACAAGACUAAGGAGUUUAGUUGGAGACAAUAUUUUGAUUUCUGUAAUAAAGCUGUGCAAAAAUGAGGAAACAUGCAAUUCACCAUCAAAGGAGGCAUUUCAAGCCACUGCGGCCUUUACUUGCUCCACUUCAGAACAUCAGGCACCAUUUACCGAGACCUCCAGUAUGGCUGUUGAGAAUGAUGCACAUUCUAAUUCCCAAAAAAGCUAUGGUGGCCACGACGUCUGAGCAAUUUCAACCACUCGCCAAUGUUGCCACUGCCCUAGAUAAACCAGGAACGGAGUCUUUACCAGCGACAAUGAGGCAAUCCAAACAACAUGAGCCCGAUGAAGCGUCCGCUGAUAACCUGCCCCAGCACAGUCCAAGACCAUUGGGUGAACAAGAGAACCCGGUGCAUGUUGUUUCUACUGCAACAUAUACCCACAUUUUGGAGGUAACCCUAAAGAAAUAUUUCAGCUUUGGCCGAUCAGUUUGUGAGAAGGUUUCUCCCUCAUAUACUUAAGGAUAUCCUUUCUGGGAUGCUAAUAAACAGAAGUGUGCUUCUUCUAGUGUUCACCAAUAACAGCUAAUUCUCAUGUGCAAGCGGAGCCACUCAAAGACCCCGCGGUGGAACUUGCAUCUCAUGACCUUGCAUUGUCUGUUCAGCCUGAGCCAACCCCUUGUUCCAUUAAGAACGACGGCCAAUCUAUUGCAGAGGUAUCGACACAUAGCCAACUGCAAUGUCUAGACAAUAGUACAUUGCGAAUGUUCGUUGGUAUGGAGUUGUGGUUAUAGCUGUGUGACCGACUGCUGACAUCUAUAUAUCGCUAUAGGACUUACCGAGUUUGGCCGCUGCAGAUUUGCCCAUUGAAUGUCUUGGAACGCUGAUUCCUGGCCUACAUGAAGCCCAUAUCCCCCCCAAGUGAACAAGUGUCAAGUUUCGAUUCCUUGAAUAACCUUAUACCUGAGACAGAAAAAGAGGUAACCAUAGUCAUAGAGCGAGAUUUUUUAAUUAACAUAUCAUUUUCAGUUAAAAUUGCACGGAUGUUCUUAAAUGUUACACACGCAAACGGGCUAUGUUUGCAUACAAGCUAUUCAGAGUAAGCAUAUGGGAGACAUAGGCUCGGGAAUUGUAGUUGCUGACAAGGAUAAGAUAAGUGGCAGUUCAAGUGUACAAUCUGGGGGACUGCAAGCUGUGAAUGUUUCGGGGCACGCAGGAAGGGUAGUCGAGUUUGAAACGGAUGGCAUAGAUGCGCUAAAUUUACCAAGGUCAAUCAACGAGUCGCUUGCGGCGACAAGUUCGCUUAUGAUUGAAGACCUAACUAUGGUUCAUCUAGAAAGCCUGAGUUCAUCAUUCCUACAGUUGUCCAAAAAUUCCUACCACACAGUACGUUGAGUGAACUUAUUCGGAAAAUUUUUCGCAGCCUACUUGGCCUAAAGAUUGAUGUCAGCCACUACCUGCAAGCCGUCGAAUUCCUAUCAUCAACCUUGGAUAGUACAGAACCACACGAACUCCUGGAUACACUCGCCGUUACAAAUGAGCAAGUGAGUGUCGCUAAAAAUUAUCUCUUUCAUAUUUAGGCCGAAAAAGACAGGGUAGUAGGCGAGAUAGAUACUCAUAAUAAAGCUAUUCGUUGGCUUCAAGAAGAGCUACAAAAGAAGCAAGAGGAAUUACAAAAAUUCUGGAGGGAAUAUGAGGGACUUCAGACUGAAGAGACAAUAGCGAAAUCUACUAUCGGAAGCCUUCGGAAUUCGAAGUCUGCGCUUGAAGAGGAGGUGAAGGUGGCACAAGAAUUGCAUGAAAUGAGAGUAGCCACUCUUAAGGUUGUCAGAGAACGAACCGAAUCUCUCAAGGUUACAUGGUUUAACAUUAAGAAAGUGAUUGGCAAAUUGUUAAAAUCAUGACGUAUUGUGUUUUCCCAUAUCCACUGUACAUCAUACCAACCUUUCCCAUUAACCAUAACUGUUUUGUAAGUAAGUGUAUAUGAAUUGGCCUACAAUGCGUAGCUCGAUUAACCAUGUAACCGGUGAGCGCAUGUUUUUUGUCGUGCUUCUCAUGUUCACUUAACACGUGUCAUUUGCAAAAGAAAUAGAGAUGCCAUUUACCAGUAACCUCAUUUUCAUGUUGUUGUGGUGAGUGCACCAUGGGCCCUUUUUUAUUCGUCGGGAAUCGUUCCAGGCUUGGUGCUUGCUGUUUGCAAUAGACAGUUACUUUCAACUGAAAUUUAUAUACACUGUAGUAGCCACCAAGAUUCGCUCCAAAAUUCUAAGGCCAUCGUUCUCGUUUGUUGAUCACUUCUCCUCACCAUUGGUAGCGUUUUGCUACAAUAUAAUAUUAAUUUUAUAUUGUGGUGCUCCACCUUUUCCAUGGGUUAUGGACCUCUCAAUCAGUGGCUCUUACCAUUAUCCAUAAGUGAUCCAUUUCAGCCCGACCGAUUCCUUUGUCGGUCCUCGGUAAACUUGAACACCUUUCUAAAGCAGCUACAGACUACCAACUUUCUCACCGGUGACCAAUCGCGUUCUCCAUCGGUUAUGGCCAACCAUGUGUGUAUCGCUGAUUCCAUUUCUUGUGAUUUGAGAGUUUAGGUUUGAGGUCAUUAUGUCCGCGUCUCGCAUCAAUGUUCGGUUAUCUCAACGAUUACCUCAUCGGCGAAUUUAUUUUGUGCUUACACCGAUGAUUCCAAACACUACGUCGCCAAUUCUAACUUUUCGGCAUGUGUGAUACGAGGUCAUCAAUCCAAUUUGCUCACCCCCUAUAAGACAUUUGUACCUGGGCACCCAUAUAGCCAUGCCUCUUUAUCGACAUACAAAUUUCUGUUGCUUCCGACUCAACUCAAGGAUAUAGAUAGGACCAACAAGUUGUCAUUUGCCCUAAUUUUCUCAUUAUCUUGAACUACAAUGAACUCCCAACACAACAAAACAACACACUUUAUUAUUAUUAUUAUUACUCUGCAACCUUUGAUCCCACACCGUAAACACCAAGUCCAAAUAGAGUACAACAAUAAAAAUAAUGAUCAAUCUCAACACACUACCUAGGAUUAAUUAAAGAGAAACUUGAUCACCUUUACGUGGAAUUCCCAUCGGUUCCCCUCCCCCUUCUUCAUUGGCAGUGUUUCCUAAUAGACAAUACACCGACUUCUCUAAUAGUCAUCACUUGUCCCCUCCAUCGGUAACUCUUUGUUGUUAGUCAACUUCAUUUUAUUCCUUGGACAUCCGCUUUCUCUAUGGGUGAUGAGCUUCUCAAUCAGUGGGUCUUACUAUUAUCUAUAGGUUAACCCUUUUAGCCCAAUAGAUUUCUCCAUCGGUCCUCAUAAACCUUCUCCAGAAGUGAUCUUUUGCAAAUACAUACCGUUAGCAUCUUCAUCGGUCAUACUUCCGAUUCUCAAACGGAGAUCGUCCGUCAUAUGUGUAUCGGUGAGUCUGUUGCUUGUGACUCGAGGGUGUAAGUUUGAGACCAUUACGUACACGUGGUGCCACAGUUGCCGCUGAUCUCAACACUUGUCUCUGUUGCGAAUUACAUUUGUGCCUACGUGGAUGAUUCCAAACACUGUGUCGCCAAUCCUAAUUUUUUGGCAUCGGUGGUAUGAGGCCAUCAAUCCUAUUUACUCAACCCCAUAUAAAAUAUUAGUAUUGGGCUACCAACUGCUCAAUGAAUGUUCAUCAACAUGCAUAUUUCUGUUGCAUCCCACAUAUUUGUACCGCAACUUACCUUGUACUGCAUCUAUGAGAAAUUGUUCAUUUCUUAUUUUCUUCGUAGCAUUAUCGUUCACAGUCAUGUUUUUUUAUUGUAAUACUGUGACCUGUGUUCAAGCACCUGGUCAAUGUGUGGGGCUAAGAAUGCCAUGCAUACACAAUCACCGAUAUGUAUACAUUGGAGCAUACUUCUCGUGAAGAUGAAAGCUCAAGCCUACCUUGAAUGGUCCGUUGAUGGAUUUUGAAUCUCUACGUCUAUGUUUAU